rnacentral:lncRNA from 1 species
ACUGAGCCGGGCCAAGGAUUGAAUCUACAUCCUCAUGAUACUAGUUGGGUUUGUAACCUGCUGAGGUACAAUGGGAACUCCAAUGCCAGAUCCUUUAACCCACUGCACUGGGACAGGGAUUGAAUCCACACCUCCCAAGCUGCUGCAGUCAAAUUCUUAAUCCACUGCACCACGGCAGGAAAUCUGAGACUUUUGAUUUCAUAAAAUCUUUUGUAUUUCUCCUGUCCAUUAUGCCUAGCAGAGGGUCUGGACUGAAUUCUGUCCAUAUUAGGGAUAACAACAACCACAGGAGAUCAGGCUCUUAAUACACUAAUCUCUGUGUACUCCUGGCUCACAUUUCCUAACUGGUGAUUUGGUGCUAAUUGCUAAUCCUGUGUGAACCUCAGCUUUCUUGGUUAUUUUGUGACAGUUUAAUAACCAACUUACUAGAUUGUUGGGACAACUAAAGGAGUUUAUAUAACUACUGAUAGGUGCUCAGUACAUGGUAAUUCUCAUUAUUAAUAUUUGUGUGUUGUAGUAUUAGAUUUUUUUUCUUUUUUGGCCACCCUGCAGCAUUUCUUUUUUGACCUAUGCCACAACUGUGGCAAUGCCAGAUCCCUUAACCCACCGUGCCUGACUGGGGUUGAAUCUGUGUCCUGGCACUGCAGAGAUGCCACAGAUCCCGUUGUGCCACAGCAGGAACUCCUUAGAUGGUUUUCAAUGUCUGUCAUGUUUCAUCUGCAGAGAGAUAUUUAAUGAUUGAGGAAAAAUGUCUGCUGCUUAAUGAUUGAUGUUGCAAAUCAGUUACCCAGACCUCCCAGCAUACAAAGAGAAAUUGAGAUCAACCUCUUAAUUUACUCAAAAUCUUCUCUGGAGUGAUCCAAGCAAAUGAAAUGUUUUGAAAACUCUCACUAUCAGAGUCACAGGAUGGCAGCCCUCGGUCUGACUCAGGUCAUCUUUCUUUGGACUUUUCUUGUCUUCAUGAGAGGAAAACCCAGGAGACACAGAUGGUGGCUGGGUCACCGAUGGAAUCUUCUCAGGCAAGUGGAAAGAGGAUUUUUCUUCAAAAUGUCAUAUGUAUUUCCAUCUGGUAGCCAUGUCAUGACCCCAAGUUUUUUUUUUUUUCCUUAUUUGGCUGCCCCACAGCAUAUGGAGCAAUUGGACCAGGAAUCAGAUCUGAGCCGCAGUGGCAACCCACUGUGCAGCUUCGGCAACGCUGAAUCCCCAACCCCCUGUGCUGGGAUGUGGAUUGAACUUGCGUCCUAG